rnacentral:rRNA from 1 species
UGGGGAAUCUUGCGCAAUGGGCGAAAGCCUGACGCAGCAACGCCGCGUGAGCGAAGACGGCCUUCGGGUUGUAAAGCUCUGUCAGGAGGGACGAAGCCACUCAGGUGAAUAGCCGAGAGGGUGACGGUACCUCCAGAGGAAGCCCCGGCUAACUACGUGCCAGCAGCCGCGGUAAUACGUAGGGGGCAAGCGUUGUCCGGAAUCAUUGGGCGUAAAGCGCGUGUAGGCGGCCAUCCAAGUCUGGUGUGAAAGCUCGGGGCUCAACCCCGAGUCUGCACUGGAAACUGGAUGGCUUGAGUCCGGAAGAGGAGAAUGGAAUUCCUGGUGUAGCGGUGAAAUGCGCAGAUAUCAGGAAGAACACCGGUGGCGAAGGCGGUUCUCUGGGACGGUACUGACGCUGAGACGCGAAAGCGUGGGGAGCGAACA